UAGUUUAGUCUGGAGGCUGGGGAAGAGGACAGAGGCAGGGGAGGAGACGGCACACUCAGAGGUGAGAUGACUGGCUGGAGGUAGAGGCUGAACCCCAGGUAGUUUAGUCUGGAGGCUGGGGAAGAGGACAGAGGCAGGGGAGGAGACGGCACACGCAGAGUAUGAGAAGUUGGAGGGUAUUCCAGAGCUGAUCUUGGAGCAUGGAGAGGGAGAGACGGAGAGAGAGGACAGGGACAGGUCGUGUACCCAGCUACCCCAGGGAGACAGCCCCGAGCCUGGCCCCACAACCCAACUCCCCUCCACUGAACGCCUGCAGCACCAGACACAGGUAGGG